rnacentral:rRNA from 1 species
AGACCCGAAACCCGGUGAUCUAGCCAUGGGCAGGUUGAAGGUUGGGUAACACUAACUGGAGGACCGAACCGACUAAUGUUGAAAAAUUAGCGGAUGACCUGUGGCUGGGGGUGAAAGGCCAAUCAAACCGGGAGAUAGCUGGUUCUCCCCGAAAGCUAUUUAGGUAGCGCCUCGUGAAUUCAUCUCCGGGGGUAGAGCACUGUUUCGGCUAGGGGGCCAUCCCGGCUUACCAACCCGAUGCAAACUGCGAAUACCGGAGAAUGUUAUCACGGGAGACACACGGCGGGUGCUAACGUCCGUCGUGAAGAGGGAAACAACCCAGACCGCCAGCUAAGGUCCCAAAGUCAUGGUUAAGUGGGAAACGAUGUGGGAAGGCCCAGACAGCCAGGAUGUUGGCUUAGAAGCAGCCAUCAUUUAAAGAAAGCGUAAUAGCUCACUGGUCGAGUCGGCCUGCGCGGAAGAUGUAACGGGGCUAAACCAUGCACCGAAGCUGCGGCAGCGACACUCAGGUGUUGUUGGGUAGGGGAGCGUUCUGUAAGCCUGUGAAGGUGUGUCGUGAGGCAUGCUGGAGGUAUCAGAAGUGCGAAUGCUGACAUAAGUAACGAUAAAGCGGGUGAAAAGCCCGCUCGCCGGAAGACCAAGGGUUCCUGUCCAACGUUAAUCGGGGCAGGGUGAGUCGACCCCUAAGGCGAGGCCGAAAGGCGUAGUCGAUGGGAAACAGGUUAAUAUUCCUGUACUUGGUGUUACUGCGAAGGGGGGACGGAGAAGGCUAUGUUGGCCGGGCGACGGUUGUCCCGGUUUAAGCGUGUAGGUGUGUGUUCCAGGUAAAUCCGGUUCACUUUAACACUGAGGCGUGACGACGAGGCACUACGGUGCUGAAGCAACAAAUGCCCUGCUUCCAGGAAAAGCCUCUAAGCAUCAGGUAACAUCAAAUCGUACCCCAAACCGACACAGGUGGUCAGGUAGAGAAUACCAAGGCGCUUGAGAGAACUCGGGUGAAGGAACUAGGCAAAAUGGUGCCGUAACUUCGGGAGAAGGCACGCUGACACGUAGGUGAAGUGAUUUACUCAUGGAGCUGAAGUCAGUCGAAGAUACCAGCUGGCUGCAACUGUUUAUUAAAAACACAGCACUGUGCAAACACGAAAGUGGACGUAUACGGUGUGACGCCUGCCCGGUGCCGGAAGGUUAAUUGAUGGGGUCAGCGCAAGCGAAGCUCCUGAUCGAAGCCCCGGUAAACGGCGGCCGUAACUAUAACGGUCCUAAGGUAGCGAAAUUCCUUGUCGGGUAAGUUCCGACCUGCACGAAUGGCGUAAUGAUGGCCAGGCUGUCUCCACCCGAGACUCAGUGAAAUUGAACUCGCUGUGAAGAUGCAGUGUACCCGCGGCAAGACGGAAAGACCCCGUGAACCUUUACUAUAGCUUGACACUGAACAUUGAGCCUUGAUGUGUAGGAUAGGUGGGAGGCUUUGAAGCGUGGACGCCAGUCUGC